UACGUAGGGGGCUAGCGUUGUCCGGAAUCAUUGGGCGUAAAGCGCGUGUAGGCGGCCCGGUAAGUCCGCUGUGAAAGUCGGGGGCUCAACCCUCGAAUGCCGGUGGAUACUGUCGGGCUAGAGUACGGAAGAGGCGAGUGGAACUCCUGGUGUAGCGGUGAAAUGCGCAGAUAUCAGGAGGAACACCGGUGGCGAAGGCGGGAUCCUGGGCCAGUACUGACGCUGAGGAGCGAAAGCGUGGGGAGCAAACAGG
rnacentral:rRNA from 1 species